GGGGCUGUGACGCAACGGUAGCGUGUUCGACUCCAGAUCGAGAAGUUGUCCGUUCGAAUCGGGCCAGCCUCA
rfam:Aspergillus terreus NIH2624 scaffold_15 genomic scaffold, whole genome shotgun sequence.